rnacentral:rRNA from 1 species
GACGAACCGUGCGAACGUUAUUCGGAAUCACUGGGCUUAAAGCGCGUGUAGGCGGGUCGGUGCGUCGGCCGCUGAAAUCCCCCGGCUCAACCGGGGAAGGGGCGCCGAUACGACCGGCCUGGAGCGACGUAGGGGGAACUGGAACUUCCGGUGGAGCGGUGAAAUGCGUUGAGAUCGGAAGGAACGCCCGUGGCGAAAGCGAGGUCCUGGACGCCUACUGACGCUGAGACGCGAAAGCCAGGGGAGCGAACGGG